AAGGCAGAAGGCGCCUGGGAUUAUUUCAAGUUGAAGUUGCAGGAGCUGUCGGAGGCCUGUAUCCCGAGAAAGGGAAAACGGUUCGUAGGCAGGAGAUUUAGACCGAGCUGGAUGAGUGAGCGUCUCAGAGGGGUGAUUAAGAAAAAACAGAAAGCGUACAAAGAGUGGAAGAGGGGAGGGAUCAGCAAAGAAACCUACCUUAUUGAGGUCAGAGCAUGUAGAGAUGGAGUGAGAAAGGCCAAAAGCCGUGUAGAGUUGGACCUUGUGAGGGGAAUUAAAACCAAUAGUAAGAGGUUUUAUAGCCAUAUAAACAGGAAGAAAACAAAGAAAGAAGAAGUGGGACCGCUGAAGACUGUAGAUGGAGUGGAGAUUAAGGAUAAUCUAGGCAUGGCGCAAUAUCUAAACGAAUAUUUUGCAUCGGUCUUUAAUGAGGCUAAUGAAGGGUUUAGGAAUAGAGGCAGCGUGACAGAGGGGAAUAAAGGAGGGGGGAUUGACAUUACCAUAUCCAAGGUAGAAGCCAAACUCGAACAGCUUAACGGGACUAAAUCGAGCGGACCGGAUGAUCUUCAUCCGAGAAUAUUAAAGGAACUGGUGCGAGAAAUUGCAAGCCCGUUAGCGAUAAUUUUUAAUGAAUCUGUAAACUCGGGGGUGGUACCGUUGGACUGGAGAAUAGCUAAUGUGAUUCUAAUUUUCAAGAAGGGGAAAAAAAGUGACCCGGGUAACUACAGGCCUGUUAGUUUAACAUCUAUAAUAUGCAAGGUCUUGGAAAAAAUUUUGAAGGAGAAAGUAGUUAAGGACCUUGAAGUCAAUGGCAAUUGGGACAAAUUACAACAUGGUUUUACGAAAGGCAGAUCGUGCCAAACCAACCUGAUCUCCUUCUUUGAGAAAGUAACAGAUUUUUUAGAUAAGGGAAAUGUGGUGGACCUAAUAUACCUCGAUUUCAGUAAAGCGUUUGAUACGGUACCGCAUGAGGAAUUACUGGUUAAACUGGAAAAGAUGGGGAUCGAUAUGAAAAUCCAGAGGUGG
rnacentral:lncRNA from 1 species